rnacentral:tRNA from 1 species
GCCGAGGUGGCGGAAUUGGCAGACGCGCUAGCUUGAGGGGCUAGUGACCACUAUCGGUCGUGGGGGUUCGAGUCCCUUCCUCGGCA